rnacentral:rRNA from 1 species
CCGCCAGAGAACUACUAGUGAAAAACUUAAAACUCAAAGGACUUGGCGGUGUCCCACCUCGGCCUAGAGGAGCCUGUCCUAUAAUCGAUACUCCCCGUUCAACCCAACCUAAACUAGCAUACUCAGCCUAUAUACCGCCGUCGACAGUCUACCCCAUGAGAGCACAACAGUAGACACAAUAGUUUCUGCCACUAAAACGUCAGGUCAAGGUGUAGCAAAUGUUGAGGAAAGUGAUUGGCUACAUUUUUUAAAUAAAACAAACGAAAUGCAACAUGAAAUCAUGCACGAAGGUGAAUUUAGCAGUAAGAU